AUGCCGCCGGCGACCGGCUCCGCGGCCGGCCUCGCGGCGGCCGUCCUCGCCGCCUCCGCGCCGCGGGCCGCGGCGGAGGCUGUCUCGUCGGUCGCCGACUUCCUCCGCCGCCACCACUCCGGCGCGGACCAGCCGCGCGCCUUCUUCGCCGACGCGCUCCCGGCGCUCCUCUUCCGCCUGUUCGUCUCCAGUUCCCCCGCCUCGCCGUGCUUCCUCGACCUCGCCGCUGGCGACCCCGCCCUCGCCGACCUCAUCGCGUCGUUCCUCGCCCCCUCCGGGCCGCUCCUCGUCGCCAUCUCCGCUGCGGAUCGCCACUCCCUCGCUCGCUUCACGUUCCCGCGCGAGCGGCUCCCCGAUUGGCUCGGUUUCGCGCUAUCCUCCACCGCGGCCUCCUCCGAUAAGGUGAUCUCGCCGCUCCUUGCCGGCCGCGUCGGCUCCAAGCUUCAUCUCUCAGUGUUCGAGUACUACCUUUUCUGGUUCGCGUACUACCCCAUCUCCGCCGCCACGGCCAAGGCUGCCGCCGGCGCCUCGAAACCAUCGACCUCCACUUCGAAACCCUCGCUUAAGCCACGCGUUCUCCUCGAGAGUUGGGUGUCCACCCUCGCAUCCACGGCUGGCCGCAAUCCGGAUCGGAAGCCCGAUAGAUCGCUGUACCUGAAGCUUCUGUACGCCUACCUUAAGGAGUUCGUGCCCAGCGACUGCGCCCCGCCCCGCGGUGGUUUUGGUACAUUGCUGCAUCGGAAUGUCAGAGACGGUGUGGACGCUGCUGGAUCCUUCAGGCGGGCCGAGUUCUUCGUGCACACACUCGUACAGUUCUGGCUUGUUGGGGACGAUUUCUCGCCGCUGCCUGUUCGGACUUCCCGUUCCUAUGGGUUGCCUUUACUGUCACUUCUGUCUCGUGCAAAUCCUACACUGUCCGAGAGACUGCCAGCUCCAGGACUUGGCGAUGCAGUGAAGCUGUUGGUGAUGUAUUUGAAUAGGAGCAGUGUCUGCAAACUCACUGAUGCAGGCAAUGUGUUUGAUGGAAUGCUCUUAAGGAAGGAGUCAUGUGACAGUCCCGCUGGCUACUGGAACCCAUUGAUGCAGAGACCAUUGUAUCGGUUUGUGCUAAGGACGUUCAUGUUCUGCUCCAGGGAUGCAGAUAUCAAGAACAUUGCUCAGGUUUUUUCUGCAUGGAUGGUCUAUAUGGAACCAUGGAAGGCUCAGCAGGAUGACUUGAAUGAGUACGAUCUGCCACCUCCUGGUGGGCGAAAUGUGAAUUGCGUUAGUGAUGGACAAAUGCAAAGGUGUGAUGUAGGGUACUCUCCAGCAUGGCAAGGCUUCGUGCUGUCCAACUAUUUGUUCUAUAGUUCACUGGUAGUCCAUUUCUUGGGGUUUGCUCAUAAGUUUAUUCAUUCUGAUGUCGCUUCAGUGCUGCAAAUGGUAUCAAAGGUAUUGGAAGUUUUGGGUUCCUCGGAAUUAUUGGAGCUUAUCUACAAAGUUGAUGCUGCUUAUCAUUCUAGAGUUUCUGAUUCCCAGUCAUGUUGUUUGGAUGAUGUGCUCAAGUAUGUGCCAACUAUCCGUGAGCAGCUACAGGACUGGGAGGAUGGGUUGUCAAAACAUAGCACUGAUGGGUCUUUCUUGCAUAUGGCGAAGAACUCUAACCUAAGGCUUUUCAGUUUUGAUGACGACGGGGCCUACAACUUGCUUCAGUUACUGUUGCUAAGGGCUGAGGCUGAGAUUCAACGUUUACCAGGUGAUGCUAUGCGAACUCGCCAUACUUUGGAUGUAAUCAAAUCUAAUAUGAGGAAGGUAUUCUACAAGCAUGUGGAAAGCUUCCAGGCGAAGAAUCUUCCAGAGGGAGAACACAAGCAGCAUCAUGGACGUGGUGAUCUAUUCGUACCUAAACAUCCAAGCCCAGGGAAAAACAAACUGGCUGAUAUGAAAUAUAGCGGUGACUGGAUGUUGAGGCCCAUCUCAGACACUGAAGUGGCCUGGCUUGCAAGGCCGCUGAUAUGUUUUUCAGCUUGGCUCAAUGAAACCCUUCGACUUGUACAUGCUGAUGCAGAUGCUGCCCCGACAGGCCCAACCAUCAUCAAGAUCGAUCAAAAUGAACCAAGCAGAGUUGGAGGCCCAAAGGAUGCUGCCAGAAUGGUGCUUGUCGGUGUCUUUACGUUGCUUACUGUGGUGGCGCAAUGGAUCCUGCAGUUCAUGAGGACGCACAAGAUUAGGAUCAAUCUCAGAAUUCUUGCAUCCAAAAAGCUCCUGGCAGUUGCUGCUAUGCUGUGCAUGGUGUACGGUAUAGCAAAGAAUAUGUUGUCUUGA
rnacentral:rRNA from 1 species